rnacentral:rRNA from 1 species
GAAUGCUGACAUAAGUAACGAUAAAGCGGGUGAAAAGCCCGCUCGCCGGAAGACCAAGGGUUCCUGUCCAACGUUAAUCGGGGCAGGGUGAGUCGACCCCUAAGGCGAGGCCGAAAGGCGUAGUCGAUGGGAAACGGGUUAAUAUUCCCGUACUUGGUGUUACUGCGAAGGGGGGACGGAGAAGGCUAUGUUGGCCGGGCGACGGUUGUCCCGGUUUAAGCGUGUAGGUGUGUGUUCCAGGUAAAUCCGGUUCACUUUAACACUGAGGCGUGAUGACGAGGCACUACGGUGCUGAAGCAACAAAUGCCCUGCUUCCAGGAAAAGCCUCUAAGCAUCAGGUAACAUCAAAUCGUACCCCAAACCGACACAGGUGGUCAGGUAGAGAAUACCAAGGCGCUUGAGAGAACUCGGGUGAAGGAACUAGGCAAAAUGGUGCCGUAACUUCGGGAGAAGGCACGCUGACACGUAGGUGAAGUGAUUUACUCACGGAGCUGAAGUCAGUCGAAGAUACCAGCUGGCUGCAACUGUUUAUUAAAAACACAGCACUGUGCAAACACGAAAGUGGACGUAUACGGUGUGACGCCUGCCCGGUGCCGGAAGGUUAAUUGAUGGGGUCAGCGCAAGCGAAGCUCCUGAUCGAAGCCCCGGUAAACGGCGGCCGUAACUAUAACGGUCCUAAGGUAGCGAAAUUCCUUGUCGGGUAAGUUCCGACCUGCACGAAUGGCGUAAUGAUGGCCAGGCUGUCUCCACCCGAGACUCAGUGAAAUUGAACUCGCUGUGAAGAUGCAGUGUACCCGCGGCAAGACGGAAAGACCCCGUGAACCUUUACUAUAGCUUGACACUGAACAUUGAGCCUUGAUGUGUAGGAUAGGUGGGAGGCUUUGAAGUGUGGACGCCAGUCUGCAUGGAGCCGACCUUGAAAUACCACCCUUUAAUGUUUGAUGUUCUAACGUGGACCCGUAAUCCGGGUUGCGGACAGUGUCUGGUGGGUAGUUUGACUGGGGCGGUCUCCUCCUAAAGAGUAACGGAGGAGCACGAAGGUUGGCUAAUCCUGGUCGGACAUCAGGAGGUUAGUGCAAUGGCAUAAGCCAGCUUGACUGCGAGCGUGACGGCGCGAGCAGGUGCGAAAGCAGGUCAUAGUGAUCCGGUGGUUCUGAAUGGAAGGGCCAUCGCUCAACGGAUAAAAGGUACUCCGGGGAUAACAGGCUGAUACCGCCCAAGAGUUCAUAUCGACGGCGGUGUUUGGCACCUCGAUGUCGGCUCAUCACAUCCUGGGGCUGAAGUAGGUCCCAAGGGUAUGGCUGUUCGCCAUUUAAAGUGGUACGCGAGCUGGGUUUAGAACGUCGUGAGACAGUUCGGUCCCUAUCUGCCGUGGGCGCUGGAGAACUGAGGGGGGCUGCUCCUAGUACGAGAGGACCGGAGUGGACGCAUCACUGGUGUUCGGGUUGUCAUGCCAAUGGCACUGCCCGGUAGCUAAAUGCGGAAGAGAUAAGUGCUGAAAGCAUCUAAGCACGAAACUUGCCCCGAGAUGAGUUCUCCCUGAGACUUUAGGUCUCCUGAAGGAACGUUGAAGACGACGACGUUGAUAGG